rnacentral:rRNA from 1 species
ACGACUCUCGGCAACGGAUAUCUCGGCUAUCGCAUCGAUGAAGAACGUAGCGAAAUGCGAUACCUGGUGUGAAUUGCAGAAUCCCGCGAACCAUCGAGUCUUUGAACGCAAGUUGCGCCCGAGGCCACUCGGCCGAGGGCACGCCUGCCUGGGCGUCACGC